CCAAUCACAGAGCCGUUGAUAGCUACGCCCUCGCGACAUAUGUUGUGUUACUUGUUAAAGAAAGUGAAGAGAAGCUCCAACAUGGAGAUUAACAUUACAACACCAGCUACAAAUCAAAAAAAAAUUGAAGACCAACUCUUUAAAAUGGAUUCUUACUCGCGAGUGGAACGGUUAGCAGGCUCGGCUGCUCGAUUGUAGUUGGAUGCACUUACUUCCAAAAACCAGAAGUUGUAUAUACAUGUUGCAUAGUCUCCCUCCUCCGACCACUGAUUUGGUCAUGAAUGAAUUCAGGGCUAUAGACACACAUGGCAUGCUGUAGUGGUGAUGGGGGAAGAGUUCAAUGGUGGUGUUGGCUCAUAUCAACCCCCCGAGGCUGGUGGCCAAAUCAGAGGUGGAGAUGGGGAUGCUCAAACACCUCUCUGUGACCUGACAAACCUCCUCUCCCCAUGGUUGAGGGAGCAAGCUGGUGCAGUCCAUAAAAGGAGAAGCUGUGAAGCACCUCCAGAUUUCUUGGCCAUCCACCUCCAGCCCCCUGUUCUACCCCCUGCACCCCCUUCCCCUGCCGUCUCUCUGGUCCCAGAAUAGAGGAGGGGUAUACACUGACAAUGACAAUCCCACGUGCAGCUCACCAGCAGAACCCCCCCCCCCUGCUUACCUGAAAACAUGAUGCACUUACAGCACAGGUGACACGUAAGCCCUGUAGCAC